UUUCCUACGGGGGGCAGCAGUGAGGAAUAUUGGUCAAUGGUCGGGAGACUGAACCAGCCAAGCCGCGUGAGGGAUGAAGGUACAGAGUAUCGUAAACCUCUUUUGUCAGGGAACAAAGGCGGGGACGUGUCCCCGGAUGAGUGUACCUGAAGAAAAAGCAUCGGCUAACUCCGUGCCAGCAGCCGCGGUAAUACGGAGGAUGCGAGCGUUAUCCGGAUUUAUUGGGUUUAAAGGGUGCGCAGGCGGGCCUUUAAGCCGGCGGUGAAAUCGCGGGGCUCAACCCCGCC
rnacentral:rRNA from 1 species